GCCCCGUGGCCGAGUGGUUAAGUUCGCGCGCUCCGCUGCAGGCGGCCCAGUGUUUCAUUGGUUCGAAUCCUGGGCGCGGACAUGGCACUACUCAUCAGACCAUGCUGAGGCAGCAUCCCACAUGCCACAACUAGAAGGACCCACAACGAAGAAUAUACAACUAUGUACCGGGGGGCUUUGGGGAGAAAAAGGAAAAAUAAAAUCUUAAAAAAAAAAAAAAAAAAAGCCCAGAGAAAGGAGACGCUAUAUCUCUGCCUGGUUGGGAGAUGACAGGGAGGUUGUGAAAGUCUUGAAACAGGAGAUGAUUUUGGUAUCGAUUUUUAAGAAUGAAUUAUUUACAAAAUUAAUCAGCCAGGGAAGGACAUUCCAAGGAAGAGUAUGUGCUAAAGGAUGGGGUCAGGAAAGGGGCAGGGGGAUCCAGGCAAAACCACAAAGUGUAGCAUUGAGUGGCCGUGGAGUGUCCGAAGAGAAGUAGGAAAUGCGGCAAGAGGCAGUGCAGGUAGAAUCAUGAAGAAGUUUAUGCAUCAAGCUAAGUGGGUUUAGCUUUAUCUUCUGAGCCAAAGAUCAUAACCUGGUGGCUCCCAGAAAUUUUUAAUUGAUCCACACAGUGAUCAUUUUUUUAAACACUGAGCUAAUAUUUAAAACUCAGGAAUUCCCCCCCGACACACACACCCCCCCAAAAUCUGAUAUCUGGCUUUUUAAAAAAUAUAUAUAUAUAGAACUUCUAGCAACAGUAGGCCUGUAUUCCCACAUUGACUUAACCAGCUGGAUAUGAGUAGCAGCUGGUUUACUCACACAAGGCAUUCACUCUCCAGUUUGCCACAGUCCCUACCAUUCUCUAUUGUAUUUACCACACUAAGGACGAGUGUCAACUGCCAUUUAUCAUUGAGCUUGACCUUGUUUUCCUUGAAAUAGAGAGAAAUGUUUCUCUGAACCCACAUCUCUACCAUAGAUGGGAAAAUAAGAGAUGAUGAGGGGCACAUGAUUACUCCCAGACUGCUUUGUUCAUUUAUGUUAACUGCCUGGUUUCCAAAGGGUACAAACCUGAGUUUGUAACCCCUUCUCUAGACAGAGAGAAUCAAGGUGAUGGCAAGAUGAAAUAUCUUUUUCUAAUGAGUUAUCGGGCUUUGAGGGGCUCUGGAGCAUUAUUAACUGCUGUUUGACUAGAGGACUCAGGAUACCUGAACCCUAUCUUGGAUUCUCUUCCCUGUGAUAUUCUUGAGGGAGUUAAAUGCCCAUGAAACAAGAAAAAUGGAAAAUAUGACCCAUUUCAUUAGUAUGGGCUGGACUUGUGCCCUUCACUCCAUUGCAGAGAUUUUUAUUAAACUGGGCUAAAGCCCGUGGUUUAGGCUUAAAUCCAAGCUUCUUCCAGCUAGGCAGGGCCUGAGCAAUAAUGACAGCUUCAGAGGAAGAGAAAGAGUAAGGUGACCACCACUGAACCGGGACGGAAGCCUCUGACCCAGCUUACUACCUGGGACAGAACAUAGGACAGAGGAGACAUAUCCCGGGCCAUGGUCCUACCUAUUCAUGACAUGACCAAUCCAUGUCUGGGAAUUUGAGUGCCCUCUGCCAGAGCCCUUAAGAAAGGGACCCUGGUGAUAGUGUAAACAAGAUGGCUGGGGAAGGAGGAGGUAAGAACAUCAGUGAGCAGGCAAAUGCAACGUCUGUGAAAGAAAUGGCACCUGUAGCAUCAAGGAGGGAUGGAAAUAAUUUGUUUAGCUAAUGAUACAAAUAGAACAGCAGGGUACCUAAACCUAGUACCGUCUCCCCAGUACACCUCCUACACCGUGUAUGGGUCGCCUCCGCUGGACAUGAGGGCCCCCAGAGUAUAAAACAGAAAAAUUAACAGGGCAGGGCAAAGACAGUUCCCGGGGCAAGGAUCGCUCUUUACUGAACCCAGAAGUGGGAGAGGACUCAGGGAAGCCCAGGGGGAGGUGAGAUCCUGGACAGGGGACAGUUUAAGGACAAGCAGUGCACACUGCUGUUGGCAGAAUUCUCCGCUGCCUCUCCGUCAUGAUGG
rnacentral:lncRNA from 1 species